GCGGCUGUGGUCCAGUGGUAUGAUGUAAGCUUCCCAAGCUUGAGAUCCGGGUUCGAUUCCCGGCAGCCGCA
rnacentral:tRNA from 1 species